rnacentral:rRNA from 1 species
GUGCCAGCAGCCGCGGUAAUACGUAGGCAGCGAGCGUUGUUCGGAAUUACUGGGCGUAAAGAGUGUGUAGGUGGUGCUCUAAGUUUGGUGUGAAAUCUCCCGGCUCAACCGGGAGGGUGCAUCGAAAACUGGAGUGCUAGAGGAUGGGAGAGGCAAGCGGAAUUCCUGGUGUAGCGGUGAAAUGCGUAGAUAUCAGGAGGAACACCUGUGGUGUAGACAGCUUGCUGGACCAUUUCUGACACUGAGACACGAAAGCGUGGGUAGCAAACAGGAUUAGAUACCCUGGUAGUCC